rnacentral:piRNA from 1 species
GAGAGACUUAUUCCUCUAGGAUAGCCUGC